GAUAACGCAUAUGUGCUGGAAUGCUUUAUGCGUAAAAAGGAUUCGUCCGCCCAAGGAUGGGUCUGCGGCCUAUCAGGUAGUAGUGGGUGUAAUGUACCUACUAGCCGACAACGGGUACGGGUUGUGAGAGCAAGAGCCCGGAGAUGGAUUCUGAGACAUGAAUCCAGGCCCUACGGGGCGCAGCAGGCGCGAAAACUUUACAAUGCGGGAAACCGUGAUAAGGGGACACCGAGUGUCAGCAUCAUAUGCUGGCUGUCCAGGUGUGUAAAAUACACCUGUUAGCAAGGGCCGGGCAAGACCGGUGCCAGCCGCCGCGGUAACACCGGCGGCCCGAGUGGUGAUCGUGAUUAUUGGGUCUAAAGGGUCCGUAGCCGGUUUGGUCAGUCCUCCGGGAAAUCUGAUAGCUCAACUAUUAGGCUAUCGGGGGAUACUACCAGACUUGGAACCGGGAGAGGUAAGAGGUACUACAGGGGUAGGAGUGAAAUCUUGUAAUCCCUGUGGGACCACCUGUGGCGAAGGCGUCUUACCAGAACGGGUUCGACGGUGAGGGACGAAAGCUGGGGGCACGAACCGGAUUAGAUACCCGGGUAGUCCCAGCCGUAAACGAUGCUCGCUAGGUGUCAGGCAUGGCGCGACCGUGUCUGGUGCCGCAGGGAAGCCGUGAAGCGAGCCACCUGGGAAGUACGGCCGCAAGGCUGAA
rnacentral:rRNA from 1 species